AACCUACCGAACUGUGGGGGAUAGCCGGCCUAACGGCCGAGUAAUACCGCAUACGCUCUCAGUGAGGCAUUUCAUUGAGAGGAAACCUACGGGACAGAUCGAGGGGCUCGCGGCCUAUCAGCUAGUUGGCGAGGUAACGGCUCACCAAGGCAACGACGGGUAGCUGGUCUGAGAGGAUGGCCAGCCGCAUUGGGACUGAGAUACGGCCCAGACUCCUACGGGAGGCAGCAGUGGGGAAUCUUGCUGCAAUGCGCGAAAGCGUGACGCAGCAACGCCGCGUGGGG
rnacentral:rRNA from 1 species